GGCUUCCUAAAUGAAACAUGGACAGUACAUGUGAAGAUGAAUAUGCCUAUGGGAGAAGCUUUCACACAUUGAAUGGUCUCUACCUACCUGUCACUCACAGCAGGGGGCUUAAAACCAGCCAUCGCAAGACAAAGAAAACUUCACAUGACACCGAUGGUGACAUGAGGAACGCUGUGUGCUGAGGGGUUCAGGCGCAGUGGUGGUAUUAGAGGGGUUUGUCGAAGAUGCCAGAAGGAAAGAGAAGAAAGGAGAGUUUUAAAUAAAACACACCACAGUGAGUUUUAAGUGGUCGCAAAAAUAGAAAUAUUUACUUUGGUUUUACCCCUUUAGUUGUGCUUUUAACCAGAUCUAAUAUAUAUGACUUCA